rnacentral:lncRNA from 1 species
UAUAGAGAGAGAGAGAGAGAGAGAGAGAGAGAGAGAGAGAGAGAGAGAGAGAGUUGGGCUAGAAUACUAUUUAUAGCAAAAGAUUAUUUUUGCUAUCAAGUUUUUAGCCUUUGGAUCAAUUUCUUUUAUCAUUUCUAACCAUUGCAUUAAAUAUUAUAACCUUGUUGGGACCACUCAACCCGAAGGGACUAAUAUCAUCCUAACCCUACAAUUUCUCAUCCAAGGGUUAAAAAUUUGAUAGCAAAAUAGACAUUUUGCCAUCAAUAGUAUUCUAGCCCAACUCUCUCUCUCUCUAUAUAAUGUAGAAUUACUAUGCUAUCGGAAGUAUAGAAAAUUUGAUGCUUCCAAUUUUUUGACCCUUGGAUUAAGAAUUGUAUGAUUAGGUAAUUACUGUCCCCCCCCUAGAGCUGAGUAGUAUCCUUAGGAUUGAGGGGUCCCCACAAGGUAAUUGUAUUAAUCCAAAGGUUAAAAAUGAUUAAAGAGGCUGAUUUAAGAGCCAAAACGUCAGAACCAUCAGAUUCUCUAUUUUUCCGAUAGUAUAGUAGCUAUACUCUCUCUCUCUCUCUCUCUCUCUCUCUCUCUAUAUAUAUAUAUAGAGAGAGAGAGCUAGGCUCCUAUACUUUCGAAAGUAUAGAGGCCUCCGUACUUGUAAGUUGUUUUCGAUGAUGGGGCGUCUAAUUCGAUGAUUGGUUUCGUUAGACAUAAUCUACGCUAUUGGAACUAUCUAGAAACCAAAUUUCAUAAUUUUUUGACUUCGUUUGUCUAGUGAACGAGUAGCCUCAAAAUGAACGGCUGAAAAUAAAAAUUUCAUUAAAAAUAGCAAUAAAAUACUUAAAUUUCAAAUCGGAAGUAUUGUUCUUGCUCUUGAUGUUAAGUAGAAUUUUCUAUUAAAGUUUCAUGUAAUUUGGAUGCUUCUACACCGUUGAACUUAAAAACGUGCUAUAUCGGCCAUUAAAAUAGUCAUUUUUGAGAUCUUGUGAUCGCUUGGUAAAUGACGUCGAAAAAUUAUAAAAUUUGGUUUCUAGAUAGUUCCAAUAGCAUAAAUCAUGCCUAACAGAGCCGAUCGCUGAAUCGGAUAUUCUAUCAUCGAAAACAACUUAUAAGUACGGAGGUUUUCGUACUUUCGAAAGCACCGAAAACGUACUCUAUAUAUA